GGUUAGCGCAAGCGAAGCUCUGAAUUGAAGCCCCAGUAAACGGCGGCCGUAACUAUAACGGUCCUAAGGUAGCGAAAUUCCUUGUCGGGUAAGUUCCGACCCGCACGAAAGGCGUAAUGAUUUGAGCGCUGUCUCGACAAUGCACCCGGUGAAAUUGAAAUACCAGUGAAGAUGCUGGUUACCUGCGCCAGGACGGAAAGACCCCAUGGAGCUUUACUCCAGCUUGAUACUGGGAUUCGGUACUGCAUGUACAGG
rnacentral:rRNA from 1 species